rnacentral:rRNA from 1 species
UACAGAGGGGGCAAGCGUUAUUCGGAAUUAUUGGGCGUAAAGGGCGCGUAGGCGGCCUGGCAAGUGGAAGGUGAAAUCCCUCGGCUUAACCGAGGAACUGCCCUCCAAACUGCUUGGCUUGAGUCCGGGAGAGGUGAGUGGAAUUCCCAGUGUAGCGGUGAAAUGCGUAGAUAUUGGGAGGAACACCAGUGGCGAAGGCGGCUCACUGGACCGGAACUGACGCUGAGGCGCGAAAGCGUGGGGAGCAAAGCGGGG